UGCACACAUGACUGUAAGUCUCUUUGGAUAAAAGUCUGCCAAAUGGUAUAUA
rfam:Salmo salar isolate Sally breed double haploid chromosome ssa22, whole genome shotgun sequence.